rnacentral:misc_RNA from 1 species
UCCAGCUUAAAGCCGGCAGUCUCCAGUGAGAAAUACAACACUGGAUGAGGGUUUCGCUCGUUUACGGACUUAACCGUACAUCUCACGACACGAGCUGACGACGACCGUGCAACACCUGUCUUAGGGUUCCUUGCGGCACGGCCUACUUUCGUAGGCUUUCCCUAGAUGUCAAGCCUGGGUGAGGUUCCCCGCUUGUCGUCGAAUUAAACCACAUGCUCCACCGCUUGUGCGAGCCCCCGUCAAUUCCUUUGAGUUUUAGUCUUGCGACCGUACUUCCCAGGCGGCAGACUUAACGCGUUAGCUACGGCACAAGAAGGGUCGAUACUUCCAAUGCCUAGUCUGCAUCGUUUAGGGCGUGGACUA